CAACUAAAUUCAGCAGGUGAUAGUUUUAAGGAUGAAAUCAAGACUAACCUUUCACUUUUUCCCCCUUUUAAAGGAAAAAAAAAAAAAAACUACAGGGGCUUCAAAGUCUGAUAACAGCCCCCUUCUUUGUGGACCCUGGUGCUAGCCGACCUCAGGGUGGCCGGUAAUUUCCAGAAAUGCCAUGGCUGUGGCCCUCUUCGGGCCAUCCCCUCUACCAGCAUCUGGUCUUGUUGCAGAAUUUGACAUUUUGUAGGCCAUGCCCAGAAAGCACGGGCCCGGACAGUAAGAAACAAGGGCAGAACCCGGGGGGGCACCGGCUGCAGACUGAAUGUUCACGGACCCUCUGACAGAUCCAGGCAAGGUCGGCAGGAAAGGGCAACGCGGCCCCCACACCGACAUCAAAUGAAAUCGGAUUUUUGUGUCCUUAUUAAAAAUUAAGUCCCAAGUAGCCUGAUUACAAUACUCUGAAUUCUGAGUGAACCGACGACUCUUCUCAGAAAGGGAGUGCGCCAGUUUUUUAAGCAGGAACUUAGCGUGUGGAGGUUUGGCUUUGGUUUACAGGAAUUGGGUUCUGUUAAGAACUUUUACAGUAGUAAAAGGCCCCACGAAGCCCAGUCCUGGAAACGUGGAGUGAUUGAAACAAAGUCACGGCCCAGGAAAGCCCGGCUCCUGAGGGUGGUCGGGAACAAAGACACAUUGGGAGUUGGGGGGUCCGAAAUCAUCUGGUCCAACUUUCUAAAUGGCAGAACGGUACCUUUCCACACUGGGAUGAGCAGAACCGAUGGCUGUCUGUGAGAAGUCUGCAAGUAGGGCCAGACAGACUGAUCAGUGUUUGUUUCUGGCAUCAGGAACCCCUUAAAGCCACACAGGAAGAGGCUCCAGACCCCGGCCAAAGACUCACUCGUGGCCGAGACCGAAGGAAAACUGGUCCCCACAGCUCCACAGAACCAAACCUGGACUUGGACGCUGCUGCUUCAAUGGGCCUGCCAGUGUGACAGCUCAGUUAAGGGAGAUGAACAGCACCAGGGCAUCCACAAUCCCUUGAUCCUUACCAAGUGCUCUCCCCCAUCGCUCCGAGAUGAGAACAUUUGCUUUUGCUUCCCUUCUCCAGCAGACUGCUUGGUUCUGGUGACUGGCUGCACAGCUGCACAGCCGCAGGGGAAAUACUUUUGAAGCCAUUUCUGCUAGCCCAUUCCCAGGACCUUGUUCUGCUUCCUUCUUCCUGUUCUCACCUGGGGCAAUCCCUUCAGAGUUCCAGCAGUACUUGUGGGGUCCUUGUUGGAAAAGAAAUGCUCUCCAAGCCCCUGAGAUGGGCUGCCCACUGGUACUGAAACUGCCCCUUGAUAGUAGUAACCCCCUGUCACACACCUUCUAUCCUCAUUCGGGAUGAUUAUCACCUGCCUUAAGAAAAAAUAAGGCUGUGCAAGUGAUUAACACUAUUAUCUGAAAAUUUAAUAAGUUCCACGAAGGAGAAUCUUUGGAAAAACAACUUAUAUAUCCAUAACAAAUAAAAUUUGGGGGGAGACUCUUCCUGGAACUAAGAAAACUUUACGCAAAGAACUCUAUUUCUAAAUACCUUUGAAGAUCAGAUGUGAGAAUGUUAGGGCCAACCAGAACUCUUCCAAGAAGCGUUUUCUUUAGAACAGUGCACCCAGCCAAUGCUUAACAAGUGCUUUAUCCACAUAAAAUAACCCAUGUUUACUAGCCCCAAAUCUUUCGUGGCGUCUUGUAAUGGCAGCACAUCACCACCCCCGUUUACGUAAGCUUGUUUAAAAUAGUUUGCUGGACACAGAACACUAAGUCUUUCCCCAGAAAUGGCCGAUUUCUAAUGCUAACCUUGACCCUGAGCUACCAGAGCAGAGAGGAAUCUGAGGUAAUGUUGUCUGGGGCCGGCCCUAGUGUUGGGUGCACUUGAUUCAUGGAAGCUCCAGCUAGAGGGACUUUAACACCGAUUUUUGGUAGAGCUCCUGAGAAGUGCCUUUCCAUCGGAGUCCCUUCUCCUUGGGAAUCUCAGCACUCUGUCUCUGGGGGCUCUGCCCCUUAGCCGAUACACUCACCUCGUCAGAAAACAGCCCUGAAAAUUGGACUUUCCGCUGUGGAUGUGCAGAUGGCCACCGUUUGUGCUUCCAGCCGACUUCUGCCCAAGAAUCCCUCAAGGAUCCCCGGGCUGUUGGCUAAUAAAGACCACGCCAGAGACAUUUUGGUUCCUUCUAGCUCAAGACUCAGACAAGCUUUCACCUCGGGCCCCUCCAUCACUGGAGCCCAGCUUUCUUACAGGCUCACUGGAGUCCAGGCUUUUUGGUAUUAGCGGAAAGAGAUCAUUCAUGAGCCCUUUUUGGAGAAGUGUAAAGGAGCCCAGGAGCAAUUAGACUCCUCCUCUCCCUGAGCUCAAAUAUGGCCUCAGACACUUCCCAAUCACUGAAUCCUGUUUGCCUCAGUUUGCUCAUUUAUAAAAUGAGCCAAAGAACUAAACUGCACAAACCACUCAGAAUCUCUGCCCAGAAAACCCCAAAAAGGGUCAUAAAGUUGGAUGUGAUCAAAAUGACUCAACAUGAAUGGCGCCAAGGCCAGAAUGAGAAGGCCCCUCUGGUUACGAGGGGGCAGUGGGGCAUCAGCCCAGCAGUCACAAAGUUGAGCGUCCUGUUUUUAGUCAGUUGGUUGGGGUAGAAACAGGUCAGACUUACCAACUUGGGAAUUAGCCUAAGCCACGAGGUGGAGCUGGGACAAGAAUGAUCAAUUAACAUAAGUAGGGGCUAUUAUUCCCACUUUAUAGAUAACAAAACUGGGACAAGAAAAUUCCACCAAGAAAAUGCAGAAUUGUUAGUAAACUUUUAAAAACCAGGCUUUUCCAGUUCUGAUGGCUUACACUGGAGAGAGAGGCGGAAAUGGAGAUCCCAUUCUCCCGGUCCUUCGUCACUCCAGAAGGGCCUCCUAGGAAGACAAUACACAGUGCUCCUUAUAUGUGAUACAUCUAACACACGUGGCUUACGUGUUUCCUCCAUCUCUUGGAUUCUGGGAAACCAUGGCUAGCUGAGCACCAGGCAGAAUGAGCUUCUGCUGACUCAAUUUGGUUAGGAAGAAGAGUCUGAGAAUCAGGCUGGAGAUCUGUUGGAGGCACAGGCCUGCAGCAUUUAUUUGCUGCUGCCCUUAAUAUUGGAAUGAUUAAUCAGGAAUACAGGAUUCUCACUUGAGAGCUGUCCUGCUCCCUUUCCAAUUAUAUUUACUCUAGUUUUAACCCAACAACCUUCUGUGGAAAAGUGGACUAAGAAAAUUUCUUUCCAAAGAGUAAGUGUGGAAGGCAAACCAAACUAUUUCACUCAUGUGGUUUUAUAUUUCAACUUAUUGCAAACUUUCUUGAGCCCCUGCCAUGUGUUGUCUCUUGAACACACAAAACAGAUUUUUAUCCUGCCCUAAAUCAUCUCAUGACACCCGAUGUCAAAACAAAAUAAAAAAAAAAAAUCAAAUCUCAAGAUACAUAAAAGAUCGAGGGCUUUAAUACAUCUAUUUUUAAAACACCCUCAGACAAACCACUGAGACUUGAUUGGAAGUCUGGAUGUUAAAGCCAUAGUCAUAAUUUUAGAACAGGGACCUUAUAAAUAGCAUGUGGUUCAUAAAAUAUAUUCCCUACAGCCACCAUGUAUGAGAAUGAUGUUCCUAACGGGAGAAAAUGGAGGCUCACCAAAGCUGACGAGAGCCCAUCCUCAGCUAUCUAAAAGAUCUCAGAAGUUGUCCUUAUACCUCAAGCAUUUAGCUGAGAAUUUCCAAAGGUCCCAAGAAGUCAGGUGAGACAGGAAACCCAUCACAUUACAGAGAAAGCACAUUUGGGGGGGAGUUAACCAAGCUCACCAACACUGGGCCCAUCCCUCUUGCCAUUCUUGCCCCCCCACACUCCCAUCUCUCCCUGAAAGCUUUACACUGUGAAGGCACAAAGUGAAAGCAGAUUUUGGGUAAGCAUGUGCCUAGGCAUUAUAUACACAGACCUAGUUUCUUGACUUGUUCUAAUGGGAUUACUCUUAAUUACUUAAUUAGUCUAAUGGGAUUAAGCUUAAAAGGAUCCAAUUUCUCUCUGGGUUCUGCAGAACAGAACAAGCUCAAGAACAGCCCGUCACUGAAUGAAACCCACAUGAAAUGGGGAUCAUAUGUGAACUGCCACUCUUCACAAACUUAAAUGUUUGAGGAGCUGGAGAGUCAGAUUAAAAAAAAAUUGUAUUGACUUGGGGCUCAGCCAGAUCUGCCCUCGAGGGGCUUCCAUUUUUUACAGAUUAGAAUGUAGAGACAGAUGUCAGUUCUGAGCUGGUUAAGGUUUCCUAAGUGCCUUAGAAAACCCUCAGAGCUGUCCUAGGUCCUGGAAGGAUGGUGGCCAAAGGCAAGCACAGUGGUGUGGAAAGACAGGAAAGUGAAAGAUUUGUGGAACAGGGAAAACUGAGAGUGCACCAAAAAAAUAAUUUAUUAAAUCUCUUUAAGUGGGAAAUCAUUUGUAAAAUGAGGUGCUCGACUAGAUCAGGGGGUCUAUGAAUUUUAGAUUUUAUAGUUUCUUAAGUAUUUUAUUUAAAAACAUUUUUAAAAUUUAAAAACAUUACAAAAACCUAGCUGUUUUUACCAGACUGCUCAAGGGUCCAUGGCACAAAAGUUCAAAGAAUCUGGAUUAGAUACCUCAGUCUAUCAUGCGAGGGAAGGGAUACUGAGGCUCCCCCAUGAGUCAUUUCUUGGCCAUAACAAGAGCAAUAGAAUUUGGGGAACGAAAUGGGGAAAUCAGGGAGGAUAGUAGAUAGCCAUUCCAUCAUUUUCUCUUCAUUGGAUCAUAUGGGAACCUGGGAAGACUUCCCCAUCUUCCUAGUGUUCUGGGAGCAUAAGCCCCAGAUCCUCAUCUUGAUACUUAUGAAGACCGUGAUCAGAUGGUUCAAUCAGAUUGUGGCACAAAAGGGACUAAGGUUAUGAUUUUGAUUAAACAAAUCAACUCAAAACAAACAUACAAAAAGCUAUAAAGCUAUCCCAUAGACUGUCCUUAUUUUACUCUCAAUCACCUCACAAAUUUAAGUUCUAGGUUACAGUUUUAAAACAAAAGUCCUUAGGUCAUUCCAAUCGCAAUGUUUCUUUAUCUAAAAAUGGCAAUCUUUGGCCUAAUGUGAAAUCGCCAUUUUGAGGCUGGAUAACAAGGCCGUUAUUUGCAUCUUUUCCUGGCCAAUUUCCUCCCCACCCCCUGCUGAAGAACCUAAUGUGAACAUCUGUUCAAUAUUACAGCGACAUAGGACAGAAAACAAGGUCAGUACUGGACAGUGGUGGGGGUGGGGAAUGCACCAGCUCUAAGCGGUGAGCUCAACUUCACUUGGAAACCAGAGAGAACAGGGCCAAGAAGCCAGCCAAGCUCCAGAUGUGGGAAAGCAUGUCACCCAGGUGCUGCCCAACACGAGUUCAUUUGCACUUCGGGAGCGUCUCAGAGGACGUCCUCAAAAGAAAUGUCACAUCCUGUUGUCAGAAGGUUUCAGUAUGAAUACAAACUCAUAUUCAUCAAUUUAUACCAACUCCAACUGGACCCUGAACACAACAUAUUCUGUAAGCAAAUAACAUUUUUUUUCAUUUCCAUAAUGUCCUUUUUCUUUAAUGAAGAUCCCCCCCCCGUAUUAACAUAAUUCAGUUAAGAAAAUCAUAAUUAUCUGCCCUUCACAAUAAGAACCCAAAUAUUCUACAAAAUUUAUUUCUGACUACUUUUUCCAAAGAGAAUUUGGGUAAAUAAAUCUGUAGAAAGGCAUACACAGAGUGACUUAAUGGAGGGAGGUAGAAGAGUGGACUUGGAGUUGGUCAGGAUCCAAUUCUGGCUUUGCCAGUUUUGGACAACUGGUUGAUCUGCUGUACAUCACUUUCAUUCUCUUUUACCUGCUUCCUUGUCUGUUCCAUGACUAUCAAGGAUUUCAAGUUAAAAUAUCUGCUCUGUAUCUUGCAACAUAAAGCAAGCAAACUCUCAACUCUCACGGUCUCAGACUGUAAUUAUAAGUACAGAUAAAGCUAAACAAACUAGCCAUUAGCAGAAACAAAAUGAAAGUGACUUCACCUACUUUAUAAGAACCCCCCCCAAAAAAAAGUAAUGUUCAAGAAUCCUUUAAAAGCCAAAUCCACAAACUAAAAUGUUAAACCUGAAUACUGUUGUCUCACCUCUCUGAGACUGCAAUAUUGCAGGUGUCAAUGAUGAUUUGACAUACACAACCCUUUUAAAGUGUGCAAACUAUUAUCUGCAAAGACCUCUGGUUUUCACACAAUCCAAAGGUAAACUAGAGUUGUCACUCCAAGAACAAAGAACCAUUCACGAGAGCUGAAAACAACCCUUCCAAAACAGUCCCACAUCCCAUCCGCACUGGAGAAGUGAAGGCAGUGCUUUCUGCACAAAACCACUACCGGCAAUCGUAGCUCGUCUACUCACAAGACCAAAGCCUCCAAGGUCCAACUCCCAGAGGUACUACUCUGUGUCUCCCAGGACAAGCCCCUUCACUCCUGUGUCCACUUCUGAAUGAUGAGACAACUGGACUAAUUCCCUUUGGUUCUUUCCAUCUCUAAACUUACAGUUUUAAGAUUUCAUGGCUCAAGACAGUCAGAACAGAAGUGAAAAUGAAGAUUUCUACUGGAUGAAAAGACUAAGAUAAUUAAGAAGGAAGUGAGACCUGGACAUUUUCCUUUCGCAAUGUGGAGAAAUGCAAGGCUUCAAGAACACAAGGAAAAACAAAAAGCUUCUAGAAGGAAGUUGGCUUUUGCUUUGUCAGAGGCAAAAAUCAGUCAGCUGAAAAACACUUAUUAAAAAUCUGUUUGCCAGUACCAAGAGUUAAAAGCUAGAAAGGAAACCAGAAUGGUCUACACCAUCCUCUUAGCUUAACUAAGGCUUCCUGUAGCAUCAGAGGAGCUAGAGGCACAUACUCACAGCUUUGGUCAUUUGAGGGCGCCAACAACAAUCCAUCUGCUUCUCUGCCAUUGCUAACUGAAUUGCAAAGACAAAUCUUGGGGCCAGAACCAGUAUUAAAGAGUGAUGCCUUAUUAUGCAAUAAAAGGACUUUUCCCUAAACAAGUCUUGUGCUCUCACAAAACUGAAAACAGUUGUUCAUCUUAAGAGCACACAUAUAAGAUGUUCAGAAAAGCACAGAUUACUUUUCUCAAUCAAUACAGAUUAGUCAGUCCCAUCACACUGACCUAAGCAGCUAAUCUCAGGAACAAACAAUUCUUUCACAGAGGCCUCAGGAGUUCAUUGUCCAAGAGCACACCUCCAAACCCCAACAAGAGAGCUCAUUCAAUAAGGUGCACUUGGCUAGAGAAGGUUGGCAGCCAUUCCAAGACUCCCCAUAUCCCAGACCAAGAUAAAGAUCGUUACCUAAAGCUUUUCCACCCUCCUCCCAAGGGCCACUAAUCCAUCAGAAGGGAUGCUCCAGAUUGCAAGGGGACACCACGAAGUGCCGGGGCCUGAUCCCAACGGCCUUCUAAGGCAGAAGCCCAUCUCUAAUCCCAAUCUCUCUGAAGUGAGGCUCUGGGCCUGAAGAUCAUGGCUCUUGUUCUCCAAACAAGAACGUAAACAAUUCCAGGGCAAUGCAAGGAUAUCGAAUGGGCAAAGCCAAAGCCAUGCCCACUGCAUGUGGCGCAAGGACCCAGGCACCCAGAAUGAGGCUGUAAAAGGCAGCCGGUCAUGGGAGCACAUCCACCCAAGUCCCCAAGGUAAUAAAGACCGUGAACAGCAGAUUAGUUCAACUCAGCAUGGGAGAGAGAGAUGGGAGGGAGGACGGACAAGACCCAGAAGGCUUGACAGGGAGGAAAGGGGGGAAUGAGUCAGAAUCACUCAUCUUUUAGAGGGGGUGGGUUUCCGAAAUGGGAUCACCACUUUCCAAAAUGCUCAUCACUGAUAAACUUCAUUUUGAAAAAGUCAUAGGAUCACAACAGACUGAGAACUGGAAGAGUCAUCAGAAUCGGAAUCAUUUUACAGAUGAGGCAACUGAGGCUAGGAAGGUUAAAGUCAGUCAGGCAAUGAAGCAGAGAUUAGAUUUCCCCCCAGGCUGUUCCAUUCCACACUGUUCUUCACUGCAGGAGGCGACCCACCCCACCUGGGAAAUACUUCUUCCCUGGCCUUCAGUACAGGUGACCCAGCCAGGAGCCCGGGCCAGCAGGCACCCUGUCUGCAUCCUCCCCUCCACAGCAUGACAGUUACAGGAGGGCUUUACCAAUGACAGUUAUCGGAUGGCCCAGUUCCUGACAUGUGCCACUGAUAACCCUCGGCAAAACUGGGCUAGGGACAACAGCCACAGGAAACCAGGCCGCUGUCACAGCAUACCAGGAAAGGGCCGGUUCCCCCAAGCACUCACGGCACAUCCGGAGCCCGACACUCCAGUCACAAACGCUGCUGGCGUGCCACGUUUUUUUUAAAAGCACGUGUAGAAACUAAGUUCUGUUUCCAGUUAACAGACGUAACACCUUUAAGCCAUUUCCAGACACGGAGGUUAACCCAGUAAACAUAACGAGCAUGAAAGAACAGCAUCCUCCUUUCUAGCAGCCCAUUUCUUUGCCUUUCUGUGACGUUUCUUCCCAGCAUCCUCCUUCCUAGCAGCCCAUUUCUUUGCCUUUCUGUGAUGUUUCUUCCCUGUUUUUGAGAAACCACAGAGACUUAAGCUUUCUAUUCCUCUUUCCCAUUUGGCCCUUUCCUCCUUUACAUGCAGCUCUACCAGGGGAAGAACACCGAAAACAAAACAUCACCCAGCAAAGGGCCCAAGUGGCAAGAGAAGCAGGAGGGGAAACAAAGUCGAACACAUCAAGGCUUCACUGAAACCCUCUUCUGUGUCUCUAUUGGACAUCAGAGUUUUAUUCUUAGAGUUGCCAUCUACCAGACGGAGUUCAAACCGGACCGACAGCAAACGCACCGAAAAAGCCUUACAGAACAAGGCCAAACUUAAUGGCAAUAAUCAGCUAAGCUCAGCUUACUUUGCCCAAUAGCUUGUUGCUAUGUCACACUCUUAAGAGGGCAAUCAACAAGGAUAUGGAUGUACCAGGAGCCUAACUUUUUAUCUCCAGAUCCAGAGACAGUAGGCUCAGACCAACUCCCAACCAGCUGUCCUCCACCUACCAACACCGCAAAUUUAAUGAGGGCGUUCACAGAAACAGAAGGCGUUUUUUUUUUUUUUUUUUUUUAAAGAAUAAAGGUACAUUCAAGCUGUUAGGAGGUUCUCUCUAGAAACCUUUAAGUUCUUAAUGCAGAUGAAUUGCACAUUCUGCUAUUCAAGAAAUUAAUAUAUUGAUCAUUUUCCUAUAUUUUUCUAGGCUAAAGUUUUCAUUAAGCACAUAGAAUGCAGGGUAAAAUAUAGAUGAACUACAGAAAUGUCCCCAAACCUGAGACAACACAUACCUAAGCUCAAGAUAAACUAGUUAGAUAACUAUUCUUUAAGGCUAUUAGCUAAAAUUUUUAAAAAGUUCAAUUCCCCAUAAAAAGCACAUCCAAAUAGUGACAAGUCAAAGGCCAAACUGUUUUGUUCAUUUUUAUGCUGCUGUCAGACAAGGGUUCAAGGCACACUGAACUCAAAAGAAGGUAUACUUCAAUUACCUCCUAAUUAACUUCUCCAUUUUAAAAAGUUCCACCCAAGAUGCCAUAUAUAUUUCUGCACUAGUUGGGUUGUUUUUUUGGACCCAUCCAGAUAACAGAAAACAGGGGAUUGAAAAACCCAAGAACUCACUGAAAAUUGGAAGAGCUUUCAUGGAUUUGGAAUGGAGGGAACUCUUCCAUCUGGACAGUCCUAGAUUAAUAUUCAUCAGAUUGAUCACUGAUGAGCUCCACGAGGUACUGCAAGAAGUUGGUGACACAGCAACAUAAAGUCAGGGAACAGAACCAAUCAGAAACCACCAUCCUGCAUACAAGCGGUGAGAAUAUUCUCUGCAUAUGUAAUGCCAUCAAUGUACAAAACUUGUCACAUUUUUCUUGAACUUGGGGGAAGCAUUUCCAUUAUUUCAAGACAGUAUCAGCGAGUGAGGGAUAUAACACACUUGUGGGAUCUGUACAGUGGCAAUUUAACUAGCACUCCAGGACCAACUUAGCACUACAAAGGUUCAAUGCCCAACUUUGGGUGGUUCUAUGCCUGAAGACUCUGUGACCCUAUGGAGAGUUAAUAUUCCAAAUAGGAUUAAGUCAGUGAAUGUAUGAAGAAUACUUGACUGUUCCUCCCAGUUAAGAGACGUAAUACAUAGUAAGGGCAAGAGAAUGUGAAGAACAGGGGAAAAAUCCCCAUUUGGGGGCACCGUCAUCCUGGUUCCCUUGAUUUUACAAGCAGCUUUCUGUCACGUGGGUCAGACUCUGGUAGCAGGGGGAACACAACAUCAUUCAACAGUAUCAAUGGCCCAAGAACACCCCCAUUAUCAUUUGGUGUGCUGCUGCACUCCACAGAGAAAUAGAGGAUGGAGACUCAGUGAUUCAGGAUAUAAAUCCACCCAUUAAGGGAAAAAGUUACACCUAAAUAAAGCACUUCCUGCUAAGGUUUUGAUCUCAAAGAAACCAUCUUCAACCCAAGCCAUCCACUUUAGGCAGACAAAUCAAUCUCAGUUGGAAUUCAGAGUGAUGUUUCAGAAAUCAAAGGGCUUUUAAGAAGCUUGUCAGUUAUUUAUUCAGAUAAAAACAUAAAGCACUAAAUGGAGAAUUAUCCCCACUCUCCUUAACCACCCCCAAAUAUAUGUGAAAGACAAGGAAUGGAUAAGAAAAGGAAAAGGAAAUGGAGUAGUUGCUUCUUCUCGACUUCAGCAGGGUGCCUUGGAAGCUCUUCGGCAUGACACACAGCACUGGAGUCAAACCACCGAAUCCAUUUCACUUGCCAUUACAGAACUGAAUAUUCAAGUGUUUCCUUCCUAACAGUUUACUCUCCUUUACUUGCCAGGACAGAAGCGGGAGUCAAAAAAGUGGCCAACGCUGGCCCUUAGUAUUUUGGCAAAUACCAAUUUCUCUUUCCUAGGAACGAAGUAUAGGAAAUGUUCUUUGUCGGAGAAGGGCCAUUUCUUCACCCAUAUUCCUUAGAUGCAUGAUUAACAGAUGGUCCACAAAAAUCCCUCUCCCUUUAAAUGUUUCCUAAAGAACUGACAACACUUGCAGGAAAAAUGGCAGCUUUAUACUUGAAUGGGGCUGAAGAGCCAGUCAGCUAAGGACUAAAAUGAUUUGAAUUGGUCUAGCAGUGCAGAUUAGGGUACAAUGAUAGAACCCAACAGCCAAAGAAAACCAAGCAGGCGGUUUUUGAGGGCCCAGAGAACAUCCCAGGCCGGCCUAAGUGGAUCAUCACAACGGUGACCUGCCGUUGGUUUCUAAGACCAUCCCUGCACCGGACAGCCAACCUCCCAAUGCUCCAGCUGAAGCUAGCAUAAAGCCAGGGCCGUCACAGCUAAUGCUGCACCAAGCGCGGAAACCACGGAGGAAAUCCUGUUUGUGGGCCGUUACUAGAAGUCAAAUCACCCAACGCAUUACUCUCAAGCCCAUCUCUUCUCCUUCAUGGCUUUUCACACCGCUAAUGGCAGAGACCGGGCCCAAGGUAGGACACAACUUCAAAGACUUUUUGCUAAUGUUCUUGCCUGUCAAAGGCCAGUGUUUGAUUCUUGGUUCAUUGGGAGAAAUAUUCUUUCUUAAUCUCUUCCCCCUCUUAGAAAAACAACCUGUUGUACUGUCCUAGAUUUGUGAUGAUGCAGUAUUACUGAAGAGAUGGGCAGUCCUUGAGUUUUUAUACACUGAACACUUCCUAUAACACCAUCAACCACUCAGAAAAUUUACCCGUUAAAUAUAUAUAUGACCUCGGGGCAUGUUCACCAUACCAGGGGCAAAAUCCUUCUUUUUUUUUUGCUUUCUCUUGGUUUAAAUACACUGUCUAUAACUAUGGAGAAUUUUUUCUGGAAAGUGUGUGUGUGUGUGUGUGUGUGUGUGUGUGUGUGUGUAAGAGAGAGAGAAGCAGAGAAGGAGGGAAGGAAGGGGAAAGGGGGAGGCGGAGAAAGAGAGAGAGAGAGAGA